rnacentral:rRNA from 1 species
GACGAACGCUGGCGGCGUGCUUAACACAUGCAAGCCGAACGGAAAGGCCCUGCUUUUGUGGGGUGCUCGAGUGGCGAACGGGUGCGUAACCUGUGAGUAACCUGCCCUUGACUUUGGGAUAACUUCCGGAAACUGGGGCUAAUACCGGCUAGGAGCUCCUGCUGCUUGGUGGGGGCUGGAAAGUUUCGGCGGUUGGGGAUGGACUCGCGGUCUCUCAGCGUGUUGGUGGGGUAGUGGCUUACCACGGCUUUGACGGGUAGCCGGCCGGAGAGGGUGACCGGCCACAUUGGGACUGAGAUACGGCCCAGACUCCUACGGGAGGCAGCAGUGGGGAAUAUUGCACAAUGGGCGGAAGCCUGAUGCAGCAACGCCGCGUGCGGGAUGACGGCCUUCGGGUUGUAAACCGCUUUCGCCUGUGACGAAGCGUGAGUGACGGUAAUGGGUAAAGAAGCACGGGCUAACUACGUG